rnacentral:rRNA from 1 species
CAGUAGCGUAUAUUAAAGUUGUUGCAGUUAAAAGCUCGUAGUUGGAUUUCUGGUACGCUGCGCCUGGCCCGCCCACGUUAGUGGUGUGAGUGUCGGUGCGCGGUUGCCAUCCUUCUAGAGAACGUGUCUACCUUUAAUUAGGCCGGGCUACGGGAUCUAGAUCAUUUACUUUGAAAAAUUAGAGUGUUUAAAGCAGGCUUUUGCUAUGAAUACAUUAGCAUGGAAUAAUAAUAUAGGACUUUUGGUUCUAUUUUGUUGGUUUCUAGGACUAAAGUAAUGAUUGAUAGGGAUAGUUUGGGGGUGCUAGUAUUGGCCGGCCAGAGGUGAAUUCUUGGAUUCGGUCAAGACUAACUUAUGCGAAAGCAUUCACAAGGAUGUCUUCUUUAAUCAAGAACGAAAGUUGGGGAUCGAAGACGAUCAGAUGACCA